rnacentral:lncRNA from 1 species
AAGCUUUUUAGGAAGGUCAAGGCAAUGCUCUUCACAUAUAAGCAGUCUCUUUGAGUUCUAGGGAUGCCAGGCAGUAGGAAAUUCAGAGUGCUCCAGUCAUGAACAUGACUCCAGAUGCUGGGUGCUCCACAUCUGUGCAGCAUCAGCUGGAGUCCAGAAACCUUUUCUCCCAGUGCAUUGCACAGAGCAGACACAAACCUGUCUGUGAAGAGAACCUCUCUCUUUUGGUCCUUCAAGGUAAGAUUAGCAUGGAGUAUUUCAGGGAUAGCAAGACACCUUGCUCCAAAUAGAUUCUCCCCCUGGACUGGACAUGGCACUGUCCUGUGUUCCUGA